rnacentral:rRNA from 1 species
AACGAACGCUGGCGGCAUGCCUAACACAUGCAAGUCGAACGAGACCUUCGGGUCUAGUGGCGCACGGGUGCGUAACGCGUGGGAAUCUGCCCUUGGGUUCGGAAUAACAGUUAGAAAUGACUGCUAAUACCGGAUGACGACUUCGGUCCAAAGAUUUAUCGCCCAAGGAUGAGCCCGCGUAGGAUUAGCUAGUUGGUAGGGUAAAGGCCUACCAAGGCGACGAUCCUUAGCUGGUCUGAGAGGAUGAUCAGCCACACUGGGACUGAGACACGGCCCAGACUCCUGCGGGAGGCAGCAGUGGGGAAUAUUGGACAAUGGGCGAAAGCCUGAUCCAGCAAUGCCGCGUGAGUGAUGAAGGCCCUAGGGUUGUAAAGCUCUUUUACCCGGGAUGGUAAUGACAGUACCGGGAGAAUAAGCCCCGGCUAACUCCGUGCCAGCCGCCGCCGUAACAC